rnacentral:rRNA from 1 species
UACAGAGGUGGCAAGCGUUGUUCGGAAUUAUUGGGCGUAAAGCGCAUGUAGGCGGCUUUGCAAGUCGGGUGUGAAAGCCCUCAGCUUAACUGAGGAAGUGCGCCCGAAACUGCAAGGCUGGAGUACUGGAGAGGAUGGUAGAAUGCUCGGUGUAGAGGUGAAAUUCGUAGAUAUCGAGCGGAAUACCGGUGGCGAAGGCGGCCAUCUGGACAGUCACUGACGCUGAGACGCGAAAGCGUGGGGAGCAAACAGG